rnacentral:rRNA from 1 species
UACGAAGGGGGGCUAGCGUUGCUCGGAAUCACUGGGGCGUAAAGCGCACGUAGGCGGAUUGUUAAGUCAGGGGUGAAAUCCUGGAGCUCAACUCCAGAAUUGCCUUUUGAUACUGGCGAUCUCGAGUCCGGGAGAGGUGAGUGGAACUGCGAGUGUAGAGGUGAAAUUCGUAGAUAUUCGCAAGAACACCAGUGGCGAAGGCGCUCACUGGCCCGGUACUGACGCUGAGGCACGAAGGCCAGGGGAGCAAACGGGG